AGCGAACGCUGGCAGCAGGCCUAACACAUGCAAGUCGAACGGAUCCUUCGGGAUUAGUGGCGGACGGGUGAGUAACACGUGGGAACGUGCCCUUUGGUUCGGAACAACUCAGGGAAACUUGAGCUAAUACCGGAUGUGCCCUUCGGGGGAAAGAUUUAUCGCCAUUGGAGCGGCCCGCGUCUGAUUAGCUAGUUGGUGAGGUAACGGCCCACCAAGGCGACGAUCAGUAGCUGGUCUGAGAGGAUGAUCAGCCACACUGGGACUGAGACACGGCCCAGACUCCUACGGGAGGCAGCAGUGGGGAAUCUUGCGCAAUGGGCGAAAGCCUGACGCAGCCAUGCCGCGUGAAUGAUGAAGGUCUUAGGAUUGUAAAAUUCUUUCAGCGGGGACGAUAAUGACGGUACCCGCAGAAGAAGCUCCGGCUAACUUCGUG
rnacentral:rRNA from 1 species